GAUGAACGCUGGCGGUAUGCUUAACACAUGCAAGUCGAACGGGACCUUCGGGUCAAGUGGCGGACGGGUGAGUAACGCGUGAGAAUCUGGCCUCAGGUCGGGGACAACAGCGGGAAACUGCUGCUAAUACCGGAUAUGCCUAAGGGUGAAAGAUUAAUUGCCUGGGGAUGAGCUCGCGUCUGAUUAGCUAGUUGGAGAGGUAAAAGCUCACCAAGGCGACGAUCAGUAGCUGGUCUGAGAGGACGAGCAGCCACACUGGGACUGAGACACGGCCCAGACUCCUACGGGAGGCAGCAGUGAGGGAUUUUCCACAAUGGGCGAAAGCCUGAUGGAGCAAUGCCGCGUGGAGGAAGAC
rnacentral:rRNA from 1 species